UCUAGAAAGGAACAAGUGAAGCUGCCAGCAUGAUCUAUCUUGGGAUGGUUUUGGAUAUGAGAGUACUAACCCUAGCUAGGUCAUGCUGUAGCAGCAUCACUUCUUCCUCUUUGGG
rnacentral:pre_miRNA from 1 species